GGGCCUCGAGGGCUCGAAUACAUAAGCUCGAAUACACAAGAGUUAGCGGAAGCAACAAUAUCUGAGUACAUACAUAAGUUAGACAAGUUUGCCUUAAGAAGGCUAGCAUAAAAGUAUCUACGAUCGAAAGGGCAAGGCCUCCUGCCUGGGAGCCUCCUAACUACUCCUGGUCGUUGGUGGUCUUCACGUAGUAGUAGGCAUCAACGUUGGCAUCUGGCUCCUGGGCUCCGACAUCUAGUUGCAUCAACCGGAAAAAAGAAGAAAGGGGGAAAGGGGGAGCAAAGCAACCGUGAGUACUCAUCCAAAAUACUCGCAAGCAAGGAUCUACACUACAUAUGCAACAUUAUCAAAGGAAGGUUGUAUAUGUGGACUGGGCUGCAGAAAUGCCAGAAUAGAGAGAAGGUCUAGUCCUAUCGAAGACUAGCAUCUUCUGGAAACCACCAUCUUGCAGCAACAGGAGGGAGUAGAGCAGUGGCGGAGCCAGCGUAUGGCCGUUGGGUUCAGGUGAACCCAACGAAUUAUGGACGCUACGUAUUGUACAUGUCCUGAUCGAACGGAUGAACCCAACAGAAAAUUAUGGUUGAACCCAACGCUAGUUACAAAAGCAGAAACAGGCGCCUUUUGGUCCAUUAAUUUUUAACGUGAUGCCCAGGAUCCGGACUGACUCGUGCAUGUACGCAGGUAACGCAACAGAAUUCUCUCUCUUAAAAAGAAGGCAACACGGCAGGCCGCACACCUCCAGAAUUGACUCGAUCUCUGACCUCUCCAUCGGAGAGACUCUCAUCUCUCUCGUCUCUAAUGUUCCGCCGUCCCGUUCUAGUCUCUUGAUCCCCAGCGCAAAGCGGCAAGCCGAAACGGAAGUCAAUGACAGUCCAAGUUCAAGGUAUCAUAUCCCUACAUCUUCUCCCUCAAGCCUAGUAGCCUAAUACGGUCAUGUCAUUUGCCCUAGUUAUUUUCCUAAUUGAUUGUUCCCUGAAGUUUGACCUAUCUAGGCUAUAGAAUUGUAAUUAUCAAAAUUAAACUAAUCACCGAAUUGAGAUUAACGGGGCUGGCAGUUUGGCAAAGCGACCCAUUAGGCAAAGUGCACGUAGUUUCCCAAAGCCUUCUAUAAAAAGAGAAUUAAUUUAGAUGACCCGCUUUUAAUACAGAUCUGAAGGGAAUUUUGGAGUACACAACAAAAUCCUAAGAAGUAACAUUUUUUUUGCGGAGUAAAGGGAGUUUUAUUUUAGAUGUCAUAGUGUUACAGUCGAGAGGCCACAAAUCCUCAAUACAAGGUGGAACCGAGCGCAACCACACCGCUGUAGUUCGCUCGGAACGGCUAUAGUUGGCCAAACGAUCUGCAACUCUAUUCUGAGAACGACAAAUUUUCAGAGGUACAAACUCCAUAUUACUCAUCAACUCCUUAAUCUCUAGAACCAAAUGACCGUAAGCCGAGCGAGUUAGAGCAUCGCUAGAGAGACUCGCCAAGGCUUCAGAAGAAUCGGACUGAACGACGACUGGGGACUCCGAGUGUUGGAUGGCCAAGGCCAUACCCUUUAUGAGUGCGUGAAGUUCAGCCAUACCCUGCAUGAGUGCGUGAAGUUCAGCCUCCAGCGCGUCGUUACAGUGGAACAGGACUCUGUAAGCUGCAAAGAUGAUCUGUCCUUGAUAAUCGUGCAGCACCAUUCCGGCAGCCGCUAAGAAGUAACAUUAAAUUAGGCGAAGAUAUUUGACCAGGGACAUCAUAUGCCGCCGCCUUAUUUUGGUUAUCCAUGUAGGGUUUGGAGAUGCUCCACAAAGAUUUAACUGUUUUGCUAAAGCAGAUCUAGAUGUGCUCUAAGUAUUGCACAUCUAAAUCCUAUGCCAUUGAAUUUACAUGAAGAUUCGUACAAGAAUUUUCAUUAGUUUUUUUUCUUACUCUUUCUAGUUUGAUUGAGACACUUAGGUGUGCCUUAGACAGACCCAAGAUUUAAUCUAGAACAAUCUCUCCUUUGGUCUAUGAACAUAAAAAAGCUAGCGAGUUACCACAUCAUUGGUGCCGAGAUGAUUUUUCGGCAAUGAAUGUUAUCAACAAAAAGUUGUGCAAUAAAUUAGGUGACCAAUUCAUGUUUGGUUGCUUAAUUCGCCAUCUGGAGAAAGAUAUGUUUUAGGUCAUCGGUAAUGAUCAUGUAUUCGUUAUAUGGAGAAAGAUAUGGUUUAUGUCAUCAGUAAUGAUCAUGUAUUCGCUAUGUGAGUGAAUUUAUGUGCUUCUUUCAUUUGAUGCUACUUAUUUUAAAUUUGCCAAAAGAUUGUCAUUCUUUCUAGUGCUUUUUUUGUGGGUAUUUUUUCUGGUGCUUUCAGGAGGAUGACAACAUGCACUUCAAGCUAUGAAGUUUAUUUUUGGCAUUACUCUACUUACAAUUUGUAAAGUUGUUUCAUAAUUUCGUCCAACCAGUAUGUCUUUGCACACUUCAAUUUUUACUGUAACAGCUAUAUGUUAUAAUUGAUAUCAUGUUUCUAUUCGCUAUACAAUUUUUGAGUGAUAUAUUAUUGUUGUACAAUAAUGUGAAAGUGGACAUUACAGUUAGCCCAUUCAUCCCAAAUCCUCACAUUGAGUCAAUGAGUGAACCCAAUGGCCAACUUUUCUGGCUCCGCCCCUGGAGUAGAGUAACAUAAAGUAAAGUAAUAGUAGUGUUAUCAACCUCGAACAAAGAUCCUCUCUCGACUCCCUGCGAGAAAGCAAUCCCAGAGCCUUACUAUCCAUAUAUCACCUCAUAUCCAAGUUUCAUCUCAAGUAUCCAGUUCUAGUUGUAUCGAUCGGGAUACAACUCCAAGUGUCCGUUACCAUAGGACAGGCUAUCGAUAGAUGUUUUCUUCCCUGCAGGGGUGCACCAACUUACCCACCACGCUCGAUUAACUCCGGCCGGACACACUUUCCUGGGUCAUGCCCGGCCUCGACCAAACAAUACGCCGCAACCCGACCUAGGCUUAAUAGAGAGGUUAGCAUGCCGGACUAAACCUUUGCCCCCAGGGGUCAUGGGCCAUCUCCCCGAAAACUCCUGCACGUUGCGAACGCGGCCGGUGAGCAGACCUAGCUACCUCCUUCAACAAGGCAGGAGCUUACGCAGUCCAACCCAGCGCGCGCCGCUCAGUCGCUGACGUCUAUUAAGCUUCGGCUGAUGUAUAUGACGCAGAACGCCCAUACUAUGCCCACGUGAUGGUUAGUGUUAUCAGGCCAGAGGCCCCUCGGAUCAAAUAUCCAAAUCAUAGUGGAAUAUGAACGCGCGGUAACAAGCAGAGACUCGCGAAAGAUGUGACCCUGUUGCCCCAUCUCGAGGACUUGCGGCAAGGGCUAGGAAUGCCCGGCCACGCCUCGUAAUUAUCUCGCGGGCACCCUCCAGGUCAACCCGUCUCUACAUCACUCGCAAUUAAGCUCGCGCGGGUACCCCUCAGGGCCGACCCGUCUUUAGUAACAUGGUUCAGUGUAAGGUCAUAGUAACCAUAGUAACGGUGUGUCCAAACAUCAAGGGGAAAACCCGAGGAAUCACCCCCGGUGAAUUCCACUCAAUGUAAUCAUCAAGGUGAAUGUAAGAGGAACCACCCCCGAGGUUCACACUUGAGGGGUUGCACGACAGAGUCGUAUCGGAAGUGGUUAAGGCGGAAUCACCCUCGAUGACCACGACCGAAUAGCUACGCUACAGGGUUAACUUCAAAAGUGAUGUAGAGUUCUCACCCUCGACGCUCGAUAGUAACCCAGUAGUGUCGAGAAACUAAGGGGAAAGUGAUGUGCGGUGCCGGGGCCUGGUCUUCAAUCCCGUUGAUCGGGUCUUCAAUGAUGAAGCAGGGGCAACAAGGACAACGUGGGCGUCACUGAUGGAUCACUAACCAACCUAUACUAAGUAGUUUAGGAUAAUCAGGUAGGUAACAAUAAGCAGGUUACAAAAGGAGGCUAUGCAUCAGAAUAGGAGCAAGCAAUAACAGUAGCAAAAUCUAAUGCAAGCAUGAGAGAAUUGAAUGGGCGAUAUCGGGAUGAUCAAAGGGGGGGCUUGCCUGGUUGCUCUGGCAAGGAGAGGUCGUCGUCGAUGUAGUCGAUCACCGGGGCAUCGGCAGCAGUCUCGAGGUCUAUCGGAAAGAAGUAACGGAUGGGGAACACAAUAAAUAACAGAGCAAUCAAAGCAUCACAAAGCAUAAUAGGGCAAUACGGGGUGCUAGGUGUGCCCUAACGCGGUAGUAGGUGAUACCGGCGAAGGGGGGAAACAUGCGGGAAAGUAUUCCCGGUGUUUCGCGUUUUCAGACAAACGGACCGGAGGGGGGAAAGUUGCAUGUUUGCUAUACUAGAGAUGUGUGACGGACGAAUGGACUACGUAUUCGGAUUCGUCUCAUCGUUCUGAGCAACUUUCAUGUAUAAAACUUUUUCAUCCGAGAUACGGUUUAUUUUCUAAGAUUUUUCACAGAUUUAAAUAAUAUUAUGAAAUUGUUUUAAUUAUUUAAUUCGAAUUUAAAUAGUGAUGAUUCUAUUUAUACACAGCAGCAGCUAGCCACUGAGCAUGACAGGUGGGGUCCAGGGGCCUUGUUGACCAAAUCAACAUUUGACUAGUCAACAGGUGAACAGUGCAAGUGGGUCCUACCUGUCAAUGACUUAUGGGUUAAUAAACUAUUUAAACUAGUUGAAUUAGUGGUGGAGGGGUCCCACAUGCCAUAGUCAGCAACUAAACUAUUCUAGUCAAUUAGAUAAAUUAGCUGUAGGGGCUCCACAUGUCAUACGGGGUUAGUUAGUCUGAUUAAAGCUAAACUAAUUGGACCGGCCAUAUGUAUUGGUUGUGCCACGGUUGGGCACAAGGAGCAUGAGCUCCAUGGCCGGCUAGGAGUUCCUGGUGGCAGCAUCGGUAGUAGCGGCCGUAGCAGCCAAGGCAACAGCAGUGGUGAGGAGCAGCAUAGUAGCAGGAGCAGCAGCUUGGCAAGAGCAGCAGUGAGCAGCCGCAACAACAGCAAGCAGGCAGCAGCGCCUCGCAACAGCAGCAGAGUAGCAGGUGCGCGCGGCGCAUGCGGGCAGCGCGAGUGGCAACAGCUGGUACGCAGGAGCGGCACCAGUGCAGCGCAAGCGGCUGUAGUAGCGGCGCGGUCAGCAAAGAGCAGCAGCAGCGCAAGGCUUAGAGCACGCACACUCGUACAUACACGUUCGCGCGAGAUCAGAUAGGCUUGGGGACAGCAAACGACGACCGGGUCGGGGCAGAGGAAGGGGGAUCCGGAGGAUUUCCUCACCACGAGUCCAUUGGCGCGCUCGGGGACGGUCGGGGUGGACCGGAGACGAGGUAAACGAUGAUGGCGGCCGGCGAUGCACGCGGCGAAGAUGAGCUCGAUGUCGAGCGUAUGAGGCGGCUCUGCUCGAGUUGAUGAUCGGGACGGAUGAAGACGGCCACGCUGGACCUCCUGGAUGUCCUCCCGCGCGUAGGUGACGACGGUGGCCGCGACAGCGGCGAUGGCGCGUUGACGGCUGCUCGUGCUCGAGGAACAGAGGAGAAGCACGAGAGGAGGAGGGGAAAUUUUGGGGGCUAGGGUUCCA
rnacentral:lncRNA from 1 species